UGGGGAAUAUUGCACAAUGGGCGCAAGCCUGAUGCAGCCAUGCCGCGUGUAUGAAGAAGGCCUUCGGGUUGUAAAGUACUUUCAGCGAGGAGGAAGGCAUUGUGGUUAAUAACCGCAGUGAUUGACGUUACUCGCAGAAGAAGCACCGGCUAACUCCGUGCCAGCAGCCGCGGCAAUACGGAGGGUGCAAGCGUUAAUCGGAAUUACUGGGCGUAAAGCGCACGCAGGCGGUCUGUCAAGUCGGAUGUGAAAUCCCCGGGCUCAACCUGGGAACUGCAUCCGAAACUGGCAGGCUAGAGUCUUGUAGAGGGGGGUAGAAUUCCAGGUGUAGCGGUGAAAUGCGUAGAGAUCUGGAGGAAUACCGGUGGCGAAGGCGGCCCCCUGGACAAAGACUGACGCUCAGGUGCGAAAGCGUGGGGAGCAAACA
rnacentral:rRNA from 1 species